rnacentral:rRNA from 1 species
UGGGGAAUAUUGGACAGUGGGGGAAACCCUGAUCCAGCAAUGCCGCGUGAGUGAAGAAGGCCUUAGGGUUGUAAAGCUCUUUCGCCCGCGAAGAUAAUGACGGUAGCGGGAGAAGAAGCCCCGGCUAACUCCGUGCCAGCAGCCGCGGUAAUACGGAGGGGGCUAGCGUUGUUCGGAAUUACUGGGCGUAAAGCGUACGUAGGCGGAUGCGCAAGUUGGGGGUGAAAUCCCGGGGCUUAACCUCGGAAUUGCCCUCAAAACUGCACGUCUUGAGACCGAGAGAGGUAAGGGGAAUUCCUAGUGUAGAGGUGAAAUUCGUAGAUAUUAGGAAGAACACCAGUGGCGAAGGCGCCUUACUGGCUCGGUACUGACGCUGAGGUACGAAAGCGUGGGGAGCAAACA